UGCGUAGGCGGAUUAAUAAGUCAGUGGUGAAAACCUGCAGCUUAACUGUAGAACUGCCAUUGAUACUGUUAGUCUUGAGUACGGUCAAGGUAGGCGGAAUGUGUAAUGUAGCGGUGAAAUGCUUAGAUAUUACACAGAACACCGAUUGCGAAGGCAGCUUACUGGGCCAUUACUGACGCUGAGGCACGAAAGCGUGGGGAGCGAACAGGAUUAGAUACCCUGGUAGUCC
rnacentral:rRNA from 1 species